AAUAAGAUGCCUGAAACAAAGGAUUAUUUUGAUAGAAUAAAUUAUGUAAAAUUUUUUACUCUUAUUG
rnacentral:tRNA from 1 species